rnacentral:rRNA from 1 species
UUAGGAAUCUUGCACAAUGGGCGAAAGCCUGAUGCAGCGACGCCGCGUGGAGGAGGAAGUCCUUCGGGAUGUAAACUCCUUUUGGGGGAGACGAAUAAACUGACGGUAUCCCCUGAAUAAGCCCCGGCUAACUACGUGCCAGCAGCCGCGGUAAUACGUAGGGGGCGAGCGUUGUCCGAAGUUACUGGGCGUAAAGCGCGCGUAGGCGGGCUGGUAAGUCGGAAGUGAAAGGCUGGGGCUCAACCUCAUGCAGUGCUUCCGAUACUGCCAGUCUUGAGGGCGGUAGAGAGAGGUGGAAUGGCUGGUGUAGCGGUGAAAUGCGUAGAUAUCAGUCGGAACACCGGUGGCGAAGGCGGCCUCUUGGGCCGUUCCUGACGCUGAGGCGCGAAAGCCAGGGGAGCGAACGGG